CAGUCGCCGCGGUAAUACGAAGGGGGCUAGCGUUGUUCGGAUUUACUGGGCGUAAAGGGCGCGUAGGCGGGCGAAUAAGUCAGGGGUGAAAUCCCAAGGCUCAACCUUGGAACUGCCUUUGAUACUGUUUGUCUUGAGUUCGAGAGAGGUAAGUGGAACUGCGAGUGUAGAGGUGAAAUUCGUAGAUAUUCGGAAGAACACCAGUGGCGAAGGCGACACACUGGCCCAUUACUGACGCUGAGGCUCGAAAGCGUGGGGAGCAAACAGGAUUAGAUACCCCAGUAGUCCCUGUCUCUUAUAC
rnacentral:rRNA from 1 species